AGAGUUUGAUUAUGGCUCAGGAUGAACGCUAGCUACAGGCUUAACACAUGCAAGUCGAGGGGCAGCAUGGUCUUAGCUUGCUAAGGCCGAUGGCGACCGGCGCACGGGUGAGUAACGCGUAUCCAACCUUCCCCUUAGUAGGGCAUAGCCCGGCGAAAGUCGGAUUAACACCCUAUGUUUUCCGUUGCGGGCAUCUAAUAUGGAACAAAGAUUUAUCGCUAAGGGAUGGGGAUGCGUCUGAUUAGGUAGUAGGCGGGGUAACGGCCCACCUAGCCUUCGAUCAGUAGGGGUUCUGAGAGGAAGGUCCCCCACAUUGGAACUGAGACACGGUCCAAACUCCUACGGGAGGCAGCAGUGAGGAAUAUUGGUCAAUGGCCGAGGGGCUGAACCAGCCAAGUAGCGUGCAGGACGACGGCCCUAUGGGUUGUAAACUGCUUUUAUGCGGGGAUAAAGUCGCCCACGUGUGGGUGUUUGCAGGUACCGCAUGAAUAAGGACCGGCUAAUUCCGUGCCAGCAGCGGC
rnacentral:rRNA from 1 species